UCCCAGGUGGCUCAGACCUUAAAGAAUCUGCCUGCAGUGCAGAAGACCCAGGUUCAAUCCCUGGGUUGGGUA
rnacentral:tRNA from 1 species